CGCAGCCCGGCAGUCACUCGUGACCACGUUGGCCCGUCUUGAAGACCGGCCGCUUUCGUAGAAGAUCUGUCCUGGAACGCCGGCCUGUGCUGUCGUCACACAAGGACAGGAGCAACGCACCUGGCUUGCUCUGCCCGGGCAGGUGACUGGCACGUGUGUGCCGUUGGCCCGUGCAGCAGCUGCUCGCCGUCGAGGCUGGUGCGGCACCGUCCGGGGCAGCUGAUGUACCGGCAGCGCCAGCACUUGAUGUCUCCGACAGUCCUCUCCGGCACGUAGAGGAAUUCGCCGACCUUUUUCGUAACCUGCACGGACACGCGAUCUUGCUCGGCACUUACAACAACAACAACAACAACAACAACAAAAACAACAACAACAACGAUCGUCGAUUAAGAGGAAGCGUUAGCUCGGGCCCAACUUCAACGCGACCGAUUCAAAUAUAUGUAAAACGCAAAAACGGUUUUCUUGAAUAACCUCUGGACCGAUUUUAACGAAAGUUGUUGCAUUCGAAAAAGAAAGUUUAAAUUCUAGUGAAUGUUUGAAGCGAAAUUUUGAUUUAAGGCCUGAAUUUUGUUUAAAAGAUCUUCAAAAAUUCUAAAAUGUGAAAAAUACAGGAGCACGAAGUUUACAAAUUAUAGCUCUGUAUCAAUAAAAGAGAUCAAUGUUUUUAAAUGGCAUCCAUUAGAUCUCGCAAAGCGGACAAAUUCUAUAUAUCAAUUUAUACCUUACGUGAAAUUGUUACGUUGUGUACAGGGGUUCUGCAAAAGUUGUAUUUCCAUAUUAGUGAUGUUUUGUAGAUUCACGUGUAGCAUAUCAAUUAUGUCCGCUUUAGAUGUACUAUCCGAUGCAAUUCGCAAAAUUGUCAUAUCGUUUUCCCUUGCUGAGUUACAGAGUCGUAAACUUCAUUGUUUCGUUUUCUUGAAAUUUUUGAUUUUUCCUACUUUUUAAUAAAAAGUUCACGACUAAAUAAAAAAUUCGAAACCAACAGUCACUAGAUUUUAAGUUUUUCUUUUCAAUGCAACAGACCUCAUCAAAUUUACUGCAGUGGUUGCCUAGAAAUAUGAAUUAUCCUUUUACAUGAAUUUAGAUAGGCGCACCCGAGAUAAAGCUUCCAAUUGAAGAGUAAUUGGGUGAAUGAAAGCAAACGCGCAACAACGAAGGAAGACAACACCGCCAGUCACGUGACCAACGGCGUCUUCGAGGUGGCACAUGUGAGAUGUGAGUUUUGCGAUCCUAAAGGUGAGUCUUACGAGGAUAAGCAGUAAACCCAAAAAUUGUUAGCAGUCGUUCAAACAGACUGGUAAUGAGUAGGAUACGCGGAUUUUCCUGCAAUUUGCCAUGGUUUGCUGAAGAAGCUUAUCUUUCCUUAUAGUCCUUUGUGGUUCACAUGUACUGCGUGGCACAAUCGCAACAUUGAGCGCUUUAAGUUUACAACUGAUCAGUCUUAUCAUGUACUUUCUAGAGCGCUUAAACAAGUCUCAACACAUGCUACGAUGAGUGUCGCCUAAUAUAGAUUGGGCAAUAACAGCAUUUUACGUAUUCUGAGCAAUGGUUUUUGCUUCUGUGUGACAUUCUUUUAAAAAGUAUAAUGGUAGAAAUCGAAUGCGAAAUGUUGAACAUGCAGGAAAGAAUUUGCUUCAAGAAGCUUAGUACGAGUAUACGAAACCAAAGCUUUUGUUCGAAUGAAGAACGACGAAAUUUUUGCUAAUUGAAGGACUGCACAUUCUUCUUACUGAAACGCUGUAGUUGGGGCGAACACAGACGAUAGAGCCAGCUGUAGAUAUAGUAUUCUUAUUAUGCAAGUACCCUAUCCACAUAUUCUUUUCCGCAAUGAGAAGCACUGACGUCAACCACAAAUGCUGCAGUGUCAUACAUAGUUUCGUUUUGCGUUAGAGGCAGGUUAAGGUUUAGAGAUUCAGUUUUUAAAAAAUAUUCACGUUUUGAUCGCGUCGUCCUAGAACUCGUCAGUUUUUUACGCAAUCGCCAAAAGGCAUCCAGCCGUCACAGUUAUUUGGCUUUAACGUGUUAGUUUAUACGGAUCGAUCGUCAACCUGCCCACUUACCCCAUUUCUGAAGGUUUUAUGGGUGUGUUUCCUUUCUUCGGCAGCGCGGUGUUCGGCCUCAUCGUGUUCCUUGAAGUGUUCGUGCACGACUUCGACGUGGUCUCCGGAGUGCGCGGAACCGCCUAUACUGGAAGCCAUGGAACCGGGCAUCGUCGGUUCAGUCGAACAAAAUGAGGCGCCGAAUAACGUUGGCGACGCCUCCGGCGAGACACCACGUCGACGAAUGAUUCGCGCUCGUCGGUUGCGAGUACGCCCGUGAUGUCCACCCUCCGCAUGAAGAUAAGCAAGCUAUGCGCGGCGAUAAGAGUGUUUCGUUCCUCCAUGAUAUUCUGUGAUAAGACGAGCGAACGGCUCUUCGCGUCUGCCACGACGGCGCGACAGCGCUGCGAGUGGUGUCACCAAACGCGAAGGUCGCGUGUGUCGUCUGCUACGUAUCAGUAGCAGGCGCACAGACGGCAAGAACACCUAUUCGUUUAUGCUUGCGAGGCCUUGCGGCUGGCAACAGCAGUGUUAGCAGGGAUCACGAGUUUUAUAAGCUCCAUUCAAACUUCAACGGGGUGGGUGACUUGGUAAACUUCAUGUGAUGCGGCCGGCCACGCAGUGGCACAAUUUGCGCUGCACUUCCCGCAUGCGUCAUAUAUAUAUGUAUAUAUAUAUAUAUAUAUAUAUAUAUAACCGACUAAAUGACGAAUAUAAAUCAAUUUAUAACUUUGAAUUUUUCCUUCGUUUUACAGCAGGUCAGUCGAUGAAAUUUGGUACCAUUUCAGACACAGACUGUGCACGUAGGUGAACCAGUACGCUCCCUUAAUUGACAGAACAAAAGAUCAAUCCCACAUUAAUGACAGUCGUCUAUCUCAUGUCUUAUCUUUGUAGCACCUAGUAGGUAUUUAUUGUAUCACCGAACCUUUCUUGGUCUUCUCACGUCCACACUGUCUGCGCUAGUAGUCGCAGAUCUUUAGGAUACCUACGCCGUAACUUGAGCAACUGCCCGAAUGACGUUCGCAAAUUGACUUUUGAAAUACUCGUCCGUCCAUAGUUUGAGUAUGCAGCUCCUAUCUGGUCACCCUGCCACAAUUAUCUAAUUACCUAUCAAGAAUAUGCACAGAACAGGCCCGCUCGUUUCGUUUCGAUAACGUUUCCAUUCGUUUAACAUAACAGACUAAAACGAAGGCUAUGUUUACAUUGUCUGAUUUUCUACUUUACGUCUGCCUCUUCCACCUUGUACGUCACGCAGAUUACAUAAUAAUCUAAGCUUAAUUCGCAUCUACGGCACGACGGUGACUUUCAAUGCGCCAUUCGCCUCUGGAAUGAUCUCCGAGGUGUCACCGUCGCCGAAUCUGAGAAACAAAAAUUUCGCCAGCAUUUAACCACACACGUAACGAGGUGAACUAGAUCAGUAGAUUUUAUUGUUUCUUCUUUGCGUGUUUCUGCAAUGUUCAUUAAUAUGCGUUGGUAAACACGAUACAGCCAUGUGCACUGUCCGUGGGAAAUUCCCUUGUCUUUUUUCAUAAUAGUAGUUCUCGUGCUUGCAAUUUUUUAGCACGCAUCUUCAUAUAGCUCUUGCAUAUUGUAUAGCAGUCUCACCUGAAAUGUGUGAAUUUAUGCCUAUAGUUUUGUCCGUAUUUUUAUUGAUGUCUGUAUUUUUAUAUGCAGUUCGUUCUAGGUUUGUUUGUUUAUGUUUUGCGUUCCCAUUGUACUGUACCAGUCCCCCUUAGCCAACGCGUCAAACAGAGCCCUGUAUGGUAAUUUGAAUAAAAAAAAUUUAAAAAUGAUAUAUGGAACAAAUGA